ACUGCUCGCACCUUGACGGUACCUAACCAGAAAGCCACGGCUAACUACGUGCCAGCAGCCGCGGUAAUACGUAGGUGGCCAGCGUUGUCCGGAAUUAUUGGGCGUAAAGGGCUCGCAGGCGGUUUCUUAAGUCUGAUGUGAAAGCCCCCGGGCUCAACCGGGGAGGGUCAUUGGAAACUGGGAAACUUGAGUGCAGAAGAGGAGAGUGGAAUUCCACGUGUAGCGGUGAAAUGCGUAGAGAUGUGGAGGAACACCAGUGGCGAAGGCGACUCUCUGGUCUGUAACUGACGCUGAGGAGCGAAAGCGUGGGGAGCGAACAGGAUUAGAUACCCUGGUAGUCCACGCCGUAAACGAUGAGUGCUAAGUGUUAGGGGGUUUCCGCCCCUUAGUGCUGCAGCUAACGCAUUAAGCACUCCGCCUGGGGAGUACGGUCGCAAGACUGAAACUCAAAGGAAUUGACGGGGGCCCGCACAAGCGGUGGAGCAUGUGGUUUAAUUCGAAGCAACGCGAAGAACCUUACCAGGUCUUGACAUCCUCUGACAACCCUAGAGAUAGGGCUUUCCCUUCGGGGACAGAGUGACAGGUGGUGCAUGGUUGUCGUCAGCUCGUGUCGUGAGAUGUUGGGUUAAGUCCCGCAACGAGCGCAACCCUUGAUCUUAGUUGCCAGCAUUCAGUUGGGCACUCUAAGGUGACUGCCGGUGACAAACCGGAGGAAGGUGGGGAUGACGUCAAAUCAUCAUGCCCCUUAUGACCUGGGCUACACACGUGCUACAAUGGACAGAACAAAGGGCUGCAAGACCGCAAGGUUUAGCCAAUCCCAUAAAUCUGUUCUCAGUUCGGAUCGCAGUCUGCAACUCGACUGCGUGAAGCGGAAUCGCUAGUAAUCGCGGAUCAGCAUGCCGCGGUGAAUACGUUCCCGGGCCUUGUACACACCGCCCGUCACACCACGAGAGUUUGCAACACCCGAAGUCGGUGGAGGUAACCUUUAUGGAGCCAGCCGCCGAAGGUGG
rnacentral:rRNA from 1 species